rnacentral:rRNA from 1 species
UACGUAGGGUGCAAGCGUUGUCCGGAAUUAUUGGGCGUAAAGAGCUCGUAGGCGGUCUGUCGCGUCGGCUGUGAAAACUCGGGGCUCAACUUCGAGCUUGCAGUCGAUACGGGCAGGCUAGAGUUCGGCAGGGGAGACUGGAAUUCCUGGUGUAGCGGUGAAAUGCGCAGAUAUCAGGAGGAACACCGGUGGUGUAGACGGCUCACUGGACCAUAACUGACGCUGAGACACGAAAGCGUGGGUAGCAAACAGG